rnacentral:rRNA from 1 species
CCUACGGGAGGCAGCAGUGAGGAAUAUUGGUCAAUGGGCGCGAGCCUGAACCAGCCAAGUAGCGUGAAGGAUGACUGCCCUACGGGUUGUAAACUUCUUUUAUAAAGGAAUAAAGUGAGGCACGUGUGCCUUUUUGUAUGUACUUUAUGAAUAAGGAUCGGCUAACUCCGUGCCAGCAGCCGCGGUAAUACGGAGGAUCCGAGCGUUAUCCGGAUUUAUUGGGUUUAAAGGGAGCGUAGGUGGGUUGUUAAGUCAGUUGUGAAAGCUCGGGGCUCAACCCUGACAUUGCAGUUGAUACUGGCAGCCUUGAGUGCAGUUGAGGUAGGCGGAAUUCGUGGUGUAGCGGUGAAAUGCUUAGAUAUCGCGAAGAACUCCGAUUGCGAAGGCAGCCUACUAAACUGCAACUGACAUUGAUGCUCGAAAGUGUGGGUAUCAAACAGGAUUAGAUACCCUUGUAGUC